UCAGUUGCUGUGUAAGCACUGGUUCGUUAAGGACUGAGUAGCUGAGCAAGCUUUACAAUAUCUCAGAUCGUAGAGUUAAGCUUGAGAGAGAUGUUCACGUUGUUUGAUUAAUGCUUGCUUCAUUUCUCUCUCAUCUGUCUGAUCUGUAUAUAUGUGAUGUUGAAAACUAUCCAUUGGAUCCAUCCGUUGUGGCAUUAAAUGCAUCUGAACUUUCUGUACUGUGAUGGAGACAUUUCUGCACAUCUUCUGAAUUCUGCAUUCUGGCCCACUGACACUGCAAGCUGUUUUCUCACCUACCACCUGAAAAGGUGUUUUGUCCCUCUUACCCAUGGUACUAUCCUUAGCUUCUUCACUACGCUUCUUUGUUGCAUACUAAGGAUAUUUCAUAUAUUUUGGGACUGAUGAGUAUUG
rnacentral:lncRNA from 1 species